rnacentral:rRNA from 1 species
UAGGGAAUCUUCGGCAAUGGACGGAAGUCUGACCGAGCAACGCCGCGUGAGUGAAGAAGGUUUUCGGAUCGUAAAGCUCUGUUGUAAGAGAAGAACGAGUGUGAGAGUGGAAAGUUCACACUGUGACGGUAUCUUACCAGAAAGGGACGGCUAACUACGUGCCAGCAGCCGCGGUAAUACGUAGGUCCCGAGCGUUGUCCGGAUUUAUUGGGCGUAAAGCGAGCGCAGGCGGUUAGAUAAGUCUGAAGUUAAAGGCUGUGGCUUAACCAUAGUACGCUUUGGAAACUGUUUAACUUGAGUGCAAGAGGGGAGAGUGGAAUUCCAUGUGUAGCGGUGAAAUGCGUAGAUAUAUGGAGGAACACCGGUGGCGAAAGCGGCUCUCUGGCUUGUAACUGACGCUGAGGCUCGAAAGCGUGGGGAGCAAACAGGAUUAGAUACCCUGGUAGUCCACGCCGUAAACGAUGAGUGCUAGGUGUUGGGUCCUUUCCGGGACUCAGUGCCGCAGCUAACGCAUUAAGCACUCCGCCUGGGGAGUACGACCGCAAGGUUG